UUUAAAGUCUAAUCUGCCCUAUGAGGAUUUAAAUGGCCGCGGUAUUUUGACCGUGCAAAGGUAGCAUAAUAAUUAGUUUUUUAAUUGAAAGCUGGUAUGAAUGAUUGGACGAGAAAAUUACUGUCUCAAUUUAGUUUAAUUAGAAUUUUAUUUUUAAGUAAAAAAGCUUAAAUUUUAUUAUUAGACGAGAAGACCCUAUAGAGUUUUAUAUUAAAUUAUUUAUAUAUUUUAAAGGAUUUUUUUAUUUAUAUUUAAUUUAGUAUUUUGUUGGGGUGAUAGAAAAAUUAAGUAAACUUUUUUUUUAUUUUUUUUCAUUAAUUUAUGUUUAAUUGAUCCAUUAUUUAUGAUUAUAAGAUUAAAUUACCUUAGGGAUAACAGCGUAAUUUUUUUUUAGAGUUCUUAUCGAAAGAAAAGAUUGCGACCUCGAUGUUGGAUUAAAAUAAAUUAUUGGUGUAGAAGCUAUUUAAUUGGGUCUGUUCGACCUUUAAAAUUUUACAUGAUCUGAGUUUAGACCGGCGUGAGCCAGGUUGGUUUCUAUCUUUAAUAUAUUAAAAUAUUUUAGUACGAAAGGACCAAAUAUUUGUAAAAUUUAUUUAUUGUUGAAUAUUAUUG
rnacentral:rRNA from 1 species